AGAGUUUGAUUAUGGCUCAGGAUGAACGCUGGCGGCGUGCCUAACACAUGCAAGUCGAGCGGACCAAUGCUCAUUUCAGCUUUGCUGAUUUGAGCAACGGUUAGCGGCGGACGGGUGAGUAACGCGUGGGCAACCUGCCCUGUGCAGGGGGAUAACACAGCGAAAGCUGUGCUAAUACCCCAUAAGACUACGCUAUCGCAUGAUAGAGUAGUCAAAGCUUUAGCGGCACAGGAUGGGCCCGCGUCUGAUUAGCUAGUUGGUGGGGUAACGGCCUACCAAGGCGACGAUCAGUAGCCGACCUGAGAGGGUGAUCGGCCACACUGGAACUGAGACACGGUCCAGACUCCUACGGGAGGCAGCAGUGGGGAAUAUUGCACAAUGGGGGAAACCCUGAUGCAGCAACGCCGCGUGAGCGAAGAAGGCCUUCGGGUCGUAAAGCUCUGUCCUAAGGGAAGAAGUAUGACGGUACCUUAGGAGGAAGCCCCGGCUAACUACGUGCCAGCAGCCGCGGUAAUACGUAGGGGGCGAGCGUUAUCCGGAAUCACUGGGCGUAAAGGGUGCGUAGGCGGCCGAGUAAGCCAGAGGUGAAAGGCUACGGCUUAACCGUAGUAAGCCUUUGGAACUACUUGGCUUGAGUGCAGGAGAGGAGAGUGGAAUUCCUAGUGUAGCGGUGAAAUGCGUAGAUAUUAGGAGGAACACCAGUGGCGAAGGCGACUCUCUGGACUGUAACUGACGCUGAGGCACGAAAGCGUGGGGAGCAAACAGGAUUAGAU
rnacentral:rRNA from 1 species